ACAUAUAUAUUCUGUAUAUUAUCUAUAACUGUAUAUCUCAGUUUACAUCUAUACUGUCUCUCUGAAGAACUCUCACUGAUACAAAAAGUAACUGAAGGCCACCCAGAGAAUAAGAAAAAGACCAAAGGACAUUUUUUUUUACUUUCCUUCAACAGAUCAUUUUCUUGACGACUUUCCAGAAUAAGACAAGAAGGACAGAGCUCCAUGAUCAGGGUCAUAAAGAUGCUUUUUCUGUCAAGCGCCUCGUGAGAAAUUUUGUUUGCUUUCUUUUUUUUCCAAAGUGAAAAGGGUGUGUGAAUAUUGACAAGUAAUCCACAAAUAAAAGGCAACCAAGGAGCCCUGGUUUGCAUAGGUUUAAGAGGAUUUUCACAUUCUUUCGAAGAGCUCAAUUGUAGUUAAGUACAGGGAUGGAGUCUCCAAGGAAAACGGACUGGUUCCACCUUGAUUCACAUUUGAUUUGCCCUAUCACUCUUUCCUGUAUCCACAGCGUCCACUCAAAAGAUGCAGCGCUCUUCAAUAUAACGUAGAGGGUAACUGAUCAGCUUGGCUCCAUUGCAACUGUGCUGACGUUUGCUAAAACGCCCAAACCCAAUGGGAUAAAUUAUUCAGUUUACCUGAAAGAUGAGGGAAGGGCUGUGACGGGUUGUUAAAGAAGAAUACUACUAGCCUCUGCUUUCAAAGCAUGCAAAGGAUUGUCAGCUCCAGCCUACUUCUCAAAUAAACCACGAAAUCCACAAGCCCACAUGGAGACUCUCCUGUUCAGCCACAUCCAUUCUUAAUUUCUGUUCCCCCGGCAGGCAAGGCACAGGAGAGACAAGUCAGAUGAUUUGCAGCUCAAACUAUAAAAGAAGUUUCAGAGAAACAAUAGGAAAAAAAAAGAAGGUUUGGGAAGGGCCAGCAGGUACCAUACAAGGCUUGUCAGCGUCUGAUGAACGAGGACUUUUUCGCACAAGGUAGAACUUACACGGGGAACAGCACUGGUCUUUGUGAUCUCUGCGCUCAUGAAAUGUGACACAAACUCCCACGUCUCUAGAAAAGCCAUCUCCGGCAUCUCCAACUUUCUUCCCACUUUCCCAUACUUACAGGCGCACGAGGGCACCCACUUCCUAUGGAUGCCGUAAGAAAUGACCAAAAGCCUGAGGCCUUUCAAAUGGU
rnacentral:lncRNA from 1 species